ACUGAAGGAAAAGAGUUCAGUUUAGGGUUUAAAACCCUAAUGCUGACUACAGGGAAAAGUUCAGUUUAGGGUUUAAAACCCUAAUGCUGACUAAAGGAAAAGAGUUCAGUUUAGGGUUUAAAACCCUAAUGCUGACUGAAGGAAAAGAGUUCAGUUUAGGGUUUAAAACCCUAAUGCUGACUACAGGGAAAAGUUCAGUUUAGGGGUUUAAAACCCUAAUGCUGACUGAAGGAAAAGAGUUCAGUUUAGGGUUUAAAACCCUAAUGCUGACUGAAGGAAAAGAGUUCAGUUUAGGGUUUAAAACCCUAAUGCUGACUGAAGGAAAAGAGUUCAGUUUAGGGUUUAAAACCCUAAUGCUAACUAAAGGAAAAGAGUUUAGUUUAGGGUUUAAAACCCUAAUGCUGACUAAAGGAAAAGAGUUCAGUUUAGGGUUUAAAACUCUAAUGCUGACUAAAGGAAAAGAGUUCAGUUUAGGGUUUAAAACCCUAAUGCUGACUGAAGGAAAAGAGUUCAGUUUAGGGUUUAAAACCCCUAAUGCUGACU
rnacentral:lncRNA from 1 species